UGGCGAACGGGUGAGUAACACGUGGGUGAUCUGCCCUGCACUCUGGGAUAAGCCUGGGAAACUGGGUCUAAUACCGGAUAGGACCAUGCUUUAGUGUGUGUGGUGGAAAGUUUUUUCGGUGUAGGAUGAGCCCGCGGCCUAUCAGCUUGUUGGUGGGGUAAUGGCCUACCAAGGCGGCGACGGGUAGCCGGACUGAGAGGUUGGUCGGCCGCAUUGGGACUGAGAUACGGCCCAG
rnacentral:rRNA from 1 species